CACGUAGGGCGCAAGCGUUGUCCGGAAUUAUUGGGCGUAAAGAGCUCGUAGGUGGUUUGUUACGUCUGCUGUGAAAUCCUAGGGCUUAACCCUGGGCUUGCAGUGGAUACGGGCAGACUAGAGGUAGGUAGGGGAGAAUGGAAUUCCUGGUGUAGCGGUGAAAUGCGCAGAUAUCAGGAGGAACACCGGUGGCGAAGGCGGUUCUCUGGGCCUUACCUGACACUGAGGAGCGAAAAGCGUGGGGGAGCGAACAGG
rnacentral:rRNA from 1 species